CUGCCACGUGGCCUCGUCUGCCUUCCUGACCUGAAAUCCCCCUCUCUUCCUCCCCUUGUUCUGAGCUCUGAGUGUUGGUCCUGAGGCUGUUCCAGCAGGAUGGAGGUGAUGGCCGGAAAAGGUGAAGAGAGCCGUCGUGGCAUCAGUGGACCUGGGUUCCCGUGCCAGCCAUGUCUGUUACAUGGCAAUCUCCCCAGCACUUCUGAACCUCAGGGAAUUACCGGAAACAUUGGUGUGACAAUAAUUCACCUUUCAGGGCGGGAGAGAGGACAACAGCAGUGUUAGUCGGGAAAGCUGUAGCUUUGGAGCCUGACUCUCCUUUGAAUCCUGGAGCUUCCUCCUUUUGGCUGUGUGACUUUGACAAAACACUCACCCAGUGCGUUUUCAUUUCCUCAAGAGCAAAAUAUUUGAGACAUCGUGUGCAUGAAGCACUUUGCACUGUGCGUGACACACUAAGAGCUGAUGGUAGCGGUGUGGCCAUAUUUACACAUGGAAGAAAGGCCGCAAAGAAAAUUCCAGACACUGUGGUGGUGUUACGGUGCUUUCCCCACUUCUUCCCACCCUUGCACAUGUGAUGCUCUCUACAUAAGUGAGUUUUCAACAGCCCCUGUUUGUGACCGGGAGAGCUCAAUUUUAGCUCCUGAAAUAAGAAUGGCUUCAACUCCUUGUACUGGUGGGUGCUUCGGACCUGUUACUGCAUGGGAACCUGGACUCUUUAUUGAUUCUGAGUGUUUCUGGAUAGAAAACCUUCUCUAGAUACACUCAUUUCCACGUGGCUUUUUUCCUUCUUGUUUAAGGAAAUGGGGAUACAGAUGUGCACAUUACACUUGAGCUUGGCUAAACUUUUCAAACGGAUUUAUAUAUGUUUUGGUGGCUGUUUUCAUUUUGAGGCAGAGUAGACACCCUUUUCCUUCCACUAAGUAAACUAAAGUCCCUAGUCAUUAUAUAGGAAACAAAUAUAAGGAGACUCUGAAUAAUAGAGAGAAGGAAGUAGAUGCCCAGAGAUGUUAGGACCCGAGGAAUGACACAAUGGUACAUUCUGUGGGUUUUCUUUUUGCCUCAUAUAUACUAGACAUGGAGCUGAAAAAGCUGACAACCCAGAAACGCCAGUUGGCACAGACAGAAAGCCCUUUUGCUAUAGGGCCAGGAGAAGAGCAACAGAACAAAACAGAAAACUUUACAAUAACUUAUCUUCUCUAGCAAAAGAUGACAAAAUAGAUAUAAAAUACAUAAACCUACAAAUUCCAGAAGCUGCACGAACCUCAAGCAGAAUAAACCCAAGUAAAUUUACACCAAGAUAUAGCAUCAUCAAAUUUCUAAAAACUAAAGAUUAAAAAAAAAUGAAGGCAACAAUAAAAAAGUGGACCUUACCUAGAGGAAAGAAAUAAUUUUGAUGACUUUGGAUUUUUUUUUAUGAGAAC
rnacentral:lncRNA from 1 species